rnacentral:lncRNA from 1 species
AAAAAUGGAAAAUCAGUGAAAUAAAAUAUGGAAAAAUAAAAAUCAGAUGAAGAAAAAUAAAAGAGAAUUUUAGAAAUUAUUAUGGAAUUUUUUGGAUAAAAAAUGUAAUUAUUGAUAAAAAAAGAAAUUAAAAAUAAUAAAAGAAAUGUAAUUAAAAUCAGAAAAAACACUGAGCGUUAGAUCACGCCUCAUUAAUUGACGUAACAGAUCCAACACUCCGAAUGUUAGAGAACACGGUGGAACACGCUGCAAACCAAACACAGGAUCCAGUUUAAAUUCAACUAAUC